rnacentral:sRNA from 1 species
UUUUACACGUGAUUGUACGGCAUCUGUUUUAGAGAACGUUCCUUUGAAACGGUCAAUAAAAGUACGAUUAUCA